CCUACGGGUGGCAGCAGUGAGGAAUAUUGGUCAAUGGGCGCGAGCCUGAACCAGCCACGUAGCGUGAAGGAUGACUGCCCUACGGUUUGUAACCUUCUUUUAUAAAGGAAUAAAGUGAGGCACGUGUGCCUUUUUGUAUGUACUUUAUGAAUAAGGAUCGGCUAACUCCGUGCCAGCAUCCGCGGUAAUACGGAGGUUCCGAGCGUUAUCCGGAUUUAUUGGGUUGAAAGGGAGCGUAGAUGGGUUGUUAAGUCAGUUGUGACAGUUUGCGGCUCAACCGUAAAAUUGCAAUUGAUACUGGGAGUCUUGAGUACAGUUGAGGUAGGCGGAAUUCGUGGUGUAGCGGUGAAAUGCUUAGAUAUCACGAAGAACUCCGAUUGCGAAGGCAGCUUACUAAACUGCCACUGACAUUGAUGCUCGAAAGUGUGGGUAUCAAACAGGAUUAGAUACCCCGGUAGUC
rnacentral:rRNA from 1 species